UACGGAGGGGACUAGCGUUGUUCGGAAUUACUGGGCGUAAAGCGUGCGCAGGCGGUUCGUUGUGUCGGUGGUGAAAGCCCCGGGCUUAACCUGGGAAUGGCCAUGGAAACUGGCGAACUGGAGUGUGGCAGAGGGGGGUGGAAUUCCUGGUGUAGCGGUGAAAUGCGCAGAUAUCAGGAAGAACACCCGUGGCGAAAGCGGCUCUCUGGAACGGUACUGACGCUGAGACGCGAAAGCGUGGGGAGCGAACAGG
rnacentral:rRNA from 1 species